rnacentral:sRNA from 1 species
AUGUACCACUCCUACACUGUGGUUCUGAGCGCGCCGUCCGCACCCACCUGACGACUGCUCGCUACGUUUUGUUAGCC